rnacentral:rRNA from 1 species
GUGUCAGCCGCCGCGGUAAUACGUAGGUGACAAGCGUUAUCCGGAAUUACUGGGCGUAAAGCGCACGCAGGCGGCGCAUUAAGUCUGACGUGAAAUCUCCUGGCUUAACUGGGAGGGGUCGUUGGAGACUGAUGUGCUUGAGGCGAUGAGAGGGGUGUAGAAUUCCCGGUGUAGUGGUGGAAUGCGUAGAUAUCGGGAGGAAUACCAGUGGCGAAAGCGACACCCUGGCAUUAGCCUGACGCUCAUGUGCGAAGGCGUGGGGAGCGAACGGGAUUAGAUACCCCCGUAGUCC